UUACCCAUUUUCAAUCCCCAGCCCAAUAUGUUAACCCUUUCCAGGUCCGCCACAUCCCCAAACGACCCCGUUUUUGCACUGACUCAUCACAGCCGUUGGAUUUUGAUAAUUUAACGGCUCAGAACUAAUCAUCUAUUUAAUACAUAAAUGUUCGAACCCACCCCAACCCCCAAAGAACUCCACCAGUUGUUCAUCGCUCCCAAAGAGAAACCCUAAUCUAAGCCGCCCCAAAAUCCUCUCAACUCAACGGCCGACGGUGUGGCUCCCAUCGACCCCAAGUUCACACCAUACAAUCACCACCCGCCCGUCUUUCACAAUCUAUCAUGAGUUCCCCCAAAAUCCUCACCCAUUUGCCCCAAUUUUAAACUUGACUCCAAAAAAUUUGAAAAUCUUAGUUUGUCCAAUUUUUAGAGUUUUAAGCGAUUUUUGGCUGAUAAUGAAUUGAAACUCAUGUCAAUCGAUUGUUCUCCUUAAGAAUAUACGAUUAGCAUCAAUUUCAUUUAUUUCGAAGUCCACCAGACUCCAUGCAAUACCAAAGACUGGCAAAUCUUCAUCAAACGAUAUCGUUCGUCGAGUCGCUCAAAUAUUUCCGACCAAAUAUGGUACAUACCUCUCCCUUUUGCUUGCAUGUCCCUUUCUAGUUUUCUUGUAUUAGUGGGAUUGUUGGUUGACCUAAUUCUGCUUUAGAAAAAAUACAUAUUAAUAAUUUGUUUUGGAUAAUUGCAUUAGAGUUAAUAUGGUUUUCUUAUUCUCUGUUUUGUUUGUUUGUUUUUAUUUAUUUAUGUCAGUCUCAUCCAGUUUAAUCCAUAUGUUUCAAGUUAAUGUUCAAAAUUAUUAAAGCAUUUUCUGGUUUGGUUGAUUCAUUUAUGGAUCAAAUUAUUUCUAUCUUUGGCUUGUUCUUUUCUUAUUCUUCCUUUUCUUUAAAUUAUAUCAUAGGCUGGCCGGGGUAAAUUUGAUUUUGAUGCUCAUUUUGGUUGAUUAGGCUUCUGCCUUAGCUGUGUGGUCAUCUUUGACCCGGUUAAAGAGGCUCAUUCAUAUGGGUUGGUGUCGUGGGUCAAUUUGACCAUACAUGAUUCAUUUUGGGGAGUAAAUACAUGGCUGUCAGGGCGUACUUUGGAUAAUUUAGGUCUAGGGUAUAUUGUUGUUAUAACCAAAGAAGUUUCUAGAGGAUAAGGGAGAGACUUGCAUGCUAUGAAAGAAAGGGGUUUCAAAUAUUUGUUUUAAAGGACUUGGGGGUUAAAAUAAAAGAGGGGGAGGGCUUAAGGGUGAAAAAAGAAUAAAGUUCUGCUACCCUAAGCUCCUUCAAUAAGAAUCUCAUUUUCCUAAUAUUCUAGUGCAGAGACUAGACAAUAAAAAUAGAAAACGACCAAAAGAUUUCUUCUAAAUAAAAAUCUAUUUAUGAGCUUUCAUCUUUCUCUGGGAAAACGUUUUUGCAAGUAAUUCUCCCUAGGUUUGCUGGUUUUUGAAGCUGAGCCAUGACUUGAUUAAGAAGCUGAUUCUGUGGAUUUUAUUAUUUUUUCCUUUGCUGUUGAACCUGUUGUUUGCUAACUGCCAGUAGCUGAUUUCUGAAUUUAUUAUCUUUUAUUUGCAAAAUGAAUCUGAAGAUAUAUGUGUGUUGAGGCUGAGGCAUUAAUCAAUGUUUAAUGUAUAAUCUUUCAUGUAAUGUUGAAUCUUCAAGCUAUUACGUUGUGGUUUCAGUUAUUAGAUAUUGAAUUUAGCUUUAUGCAAGUUUGGAUUAUCAGUUUUGGUGGUAAAUAGUUAGAUGUUUUAGUUGAAAUGUUUUAGAAUCUAUACCUAAACAAUCAUCAAAACCCAUUACCUUUGUUGAAAAUCGAGUAAUUAUGUUGGACGAGUUUGUUUUAGUCAAUUUGUAUAUUCUUUUAAUAAGUUUGGGUCCAGAUGGACUAAGCCCAAAUUCAUGAAAAGUGGAAGCUGAAUCUCCAUGUUUUUUUUUUUAAUUUGCAGAUGAAAAUUUGGAAUGUGAUUUGCAAAGUUCUUUUUGUGUCGUCAAAAUCCCAGACGCAUAUUAAUACUUUUUGAUGAUCUGGUUGGGUCAAAGAUUGUAAAAGGGCCCAAUAAGGGAGUAACACAGGCUUUACAGGCUAUUUGGGCCUUUGGAUCCCAUCCGUUAAUGGCCAUUUGACUCACAAGUCUUUGGCCCAUUUCUAUAUUUGUCAAGCCACUUUGAUUCCUAUCAGCUAAUUCAUUAGCUCGUUAAGAUGAUCCUACUAUCACAUCCAUUUCGUACUAUGAUUUCUUUAAGACAUUACUAUUUUGUUUGCCGAAAUCCAAGAAACAUCGCUUUUAAAAAUUUGAGAAAAGGUUAUUUUUCCCAAGUAAAUUCAUAAUCCAUAGGCUUCUGCGUUGCAUAUUGAAUCCUUGUUUCAAC
rnacentral:lncRNA from 1 species